rnacentral:lncRNA from 1 species
UAAUAUUUUACUUUGGAGUUUUAUUUAAACAACCUCAGUAGUUUGGAUGACAGCUUGAGAAAGCCUUAAGAGUUUGAGACUGAGUUUGAUGAUACUUUCUCGUAUGUUCGUGUACAGAUAACACUGUUCACAGUACUUUCCACCACCAUUUUCCCAUCCACCAGCUUUCUCGUUAUGGUGGUUUCUUUGCCAUCCCAGUCCUGAACUUGAAUCAGGGACUCCUUAUCUAAGGUUACUUUACUCGAGGAUGAUAUCUGACUAACAUUCUUUUGAAAUGUGUCUGAAAGACUGUCGUAGGCCUCACCUUUGUUUUGUGGCCACCUGGCGUGAUUUCCUCAAACUCUUCUCCCAGCUUAAAGGAGAUCUCAUUAUUUUUAAAGAUGCUUUUGGUUUUUAUUGUGAUGACAUCUCCAUCUGUACUGAUGGUCACAGUGGGUUUUGCCAAACGGCCCAGUUUCCUGCUGGCUCUUCCUAUACC